AUUGAACGCUGGCGGCAGGCUUAACACAUGCAAGUCGGGCGGGGUGAUGGUGCUUGCACUAUCACUUAGCGGCGGACGGGUGAGUAAUGCUUAGGAAUCUGCCUAUUAGUGGGGGACAACAUCUCGAAAGGGAUGCUAAUACCGCAUACGUCCUACGGGAGAAAGCAGGGGAUCACUUGUGACCUUGCGCUAAUAGAUGAGCCUAGGUCGGAUUAGCUAGUUGGUGGGGUAAAGGCCUACCAAGGCGACGAUCUGUAGCGGGUCAGAGAGGAUGAUCCGCCACACUGGGACUGAGACACGGCCCAGACUCCUACGGGAGGCAGCAGUGGGGAAUAUUGGACAAUGGGGGGAACCCUGAUCCAGCCAUGCCGCGUGUGUGAAGAAGGCCUUAUGGUUGUAAAGCACUUUAAGCGAGGAGGAGGCUCUUUUGGUUAAUACCCAAGAUGAGUGGACGUUACUCGCAGAAUAAGCACCGGCUAACUCUGUGCCAGCCGCCGCCGUAA
rnacentral:rRNA from 1 species